UUGAACGCUGGCGGCAGGCCUAACACAUGCAAGUCGAACGGUAACAGGAAGCAGCUUGCUGCUUCGCUGACGAGUGGCGGACGGGUGAGUAAUGUCUGGGAAACUGCCUGAUGGAGUGGGAUAACUACUGGAAACGGUAGCUAAUACCGCAUAACGUCGCAAGACCAAAGAGGGGGACCUUAGGGCCUCUUGCCAUCGGAUGUGCCCAGAUGGGAUUAGCUAGUAGGUGGGGUAACGGCUCACCUAGGCGACGAUCCCUAGCUGGUCUGAGAGGAUGACCAGCCACACUGGAACUGAGACACGGUCCAGACUCCUACGGGAGGCAGCAGUGGGGAAUAUUGCACAAUGGGCGCAAGCCUGAUGCAGCCAUGCCGCGUGUAUGAAGAAGGCCUUCGGGUUGUAAAGUACUUUCAGCGGGGAGGAAGGGAGUAAAGUUAAUACCUUUGCUCAUUGACGUUACCCGCAGAAGAAGCACCGGCUAACUCCGUG
rnacentral:rRNA from 1 species